rnacentral:rRNA from 1 species
AAGGUAUGCAAGUCGAACGAUCCCUUUGAAUUACUUGAAACUUCGGUUGAUUGUAUUUCUUUUUGGGAUAGUGGCAAACGGGUGAGUAACACGUGGAUAACCUGCCUUAAAGUCAUGAACAGCUCAUCGAAAGAUGGGAUAAUACAUGAUAGUCUUACAAUUUCUAUCCGACUUUGUAAGUAAAGCUCCGGCGCUUUAAGAGGGGUCCGCGUCCUAUCAGCUUGUUGGUGAGGUAAUAGCUCACCAAGGCUAAGACGGGUAGCUGGCGUGAGAGCGCGGUCAGCCACCAUGGAACUGAGACACGGUCCAUACUCCUACGGGAGGCAGCAAUUAGGAAUCUUGCGCAAUGGGGGCAACCCUGACGCAGCGACACAGCGUGGAGGACGAAGGUCUUCGGAUUGUAAACUCCUUUUAUAUGGGAAGAAUAGAUGACGGUACCAUAUGAAUAAGCACCUGCUAACUACGUGCCAGAAGCAUCGGUGAUACGUAGGGUGCGAACGUUAUCCGGAUUUAUUGGGCGUAUAGAGAUGCGUAGGCGUUUCUGUAAGUCUGAAGUUAAAGCCCACGGCUUAACCGUGGAAAAGCUUUGGAAACUGCAGAAAUUGAGACAGGAAGAGGCGAAUGGAAUUCCCAGUGGAGCGGUGAAAUGCGUUGAUAUUGGGAGGAACAUCAGUGGCGAAGGCGAUUCGCUGGUCCUUGUCUGACGCUGAGGCUCGAAAGCGUGGGUAGCAAAACGGAUUAGAUACCCGUGUAGUCCACGCCGUAAACUAUGGAUGCUAGGUGUUCGGUACAACCGUUUUUUCCUUCGGGAAAAGANGGAAGUAUUGAGUGCCGCAGCUAACGCGUUAAGCAUCCCGCC